AGAGACGAGGUUUCACCAUGUUGGCCAGGAUGGUCUCCUGACCUUGUGAUCUGCCCACCUCGGCCUCCCAAAGUGGGAUUACAGGCGUGAGCCACCGCACCUGGCUCAGAACUACAUUUCCUUAACUGUGACUCUUUCCUUUGUGACUGAAAAUAAGUAUCAUUUUUAUCCAGUAAAUGUUGGCUGAGAAUUCGUAAGGUAUAUGCUUUAAAUUGGCUGUUGUAGAACAGGGAGAGAGAACUUGAUGAAGAGAAAAAUCCUUGGAAUCAGUGGUUUAUGACUUUUUUUUUUCCUUUUUGAUGACUGAACCUUAUUAUCGCAUAGUAGAAAUUGGAUUUUCUUCCAGAAACUUCUUUAGUACCUCUCAUUUGUAGCACUUUUAUCAAGAGUGCUAGUAUUCAGACAUGUAACCUACAAACAAAAUGAGAAAGACGUCAGAAUAACAUCAUAAUUCAGACUAUCCUGAGAACAUUUAUCUUCUGAAUAUUUUAAGAAAGAAAAUUAAGUGUUAAUUAUAUUGUAGGGUGUUGUCAUUUUAUACUUCAAGUUCCUGAGAAGAGAAUUUGAACAGUUUGCUAUUUGGAAAUUUUAGCAACCAGCUACCUUGCCUGUGGAACGUUUAAAAAAAAAGGAGAGGGAGUAGAUGGUGGUCCAUAGGCUGUAACUAGAAACUUUGCCUGUCUUAUUUAGCAUUUCAAAACAAAAACCAUAAACAAACAUCUCAGAUUCAAAACGGAAAGGAAUUUCUGGCAGGGCAGAAUGAAAUCUGAGACUGCAGAGUCCCAGUCUACAAGAGGUAACUUAUUUAGCUUCUUAUCCAAAGGCCACAGCAAAACGUUUCACAGCUGUGAUUAAACAAAAGGCAUCUUUUGUUGGAGAAUUGUGAUACUUCUUUUUAAGACUGCAAAAGACCUGCCAAAAUAAGGCAAAGCUACCUUGAGGAUGUUUGACCUGAACUAGACUUUAUGAAGUAGUUGGACCACUUCGGGCCUUAUGGUGUGAGGAAUGUGGGAUGCAUAGGCUUGGACCCCUCUGUGUGUGUGUUUAUAAGUGAGUAGAGAUAGAAUAUUCCAUCGUGUUAUCAAAUGCAGAUCUUGAGAACCUUUUCUCACUUCCCAUAGUUGGGAGCUUUGCUUUUUUUGAAAAGUACGGGCUUUUACAGUCUGAGUGAGGAAAAGGGAUGGAUUUUAGACAAUUUUAUCUCUGAAAGUCAAAGUAGAAGGAUUUUUAAACAGUUGGAGACAGAAUGGGUAUACUGUGUGCUUUUCAGAACCACUGAGUUCCUGUAUUUCAGGCAGAUUUUAAGAUUUACUACCACUACCUAUCACAUAAAAAUGAAAGACCAAAUAAAUUUCUGUAUUUUAAUCAAGAGUGUGACUGUAUUUGUGUAUAUCCUAGCUCAUUUCAGAAAGGGUUUGAGGCUGCCCAGAAAGGUAAAUAUUACAGAAUUCUUGUAUGUGAUAACAUGAUGGAGAAAAAAAACAGCCAUGACUUUUGAAUCCCCUUCAUCCCUUAAUAGCCCAGUGACUUAAAUAAAACCCCUCAACUUCCCUUGGCAUCACUUUGCCGUAAUUUGUCAAAAGGGAAUUAAAUAGUUACCUACCUGAAGACAGGGGAACUGAAUCAGAUGAUAUCUUAAGGUCCUACUGGUCAUAAGAUCUAUGUUUUUAUGACCUAGAAGUGAUAGACAGGAGUCAAGUAUUACCUUGUGUUUGCAGAGCCAGGGAAGGAAAAAGUGGUAGUGUCUACAUGACUGCCAGGUGCUGUAGACAGAAGGGCUUAGAGGAAAAGAUCAAGAGUUCCUCCAUGGUUAUGUUUAUCAAGCAGCAGUGGAGACAGCAAAGCAUAGUGUUGGGAAGUUAGUGACAGCUUUUAAAUGCCUGAAGUCUUUUAAAUCAUAUUCACUGUGGCCUAGUCUGGAUUCAGGGUAGAAUUCAAACCUCUCUUAUGCCUUCGCUGCCUUCCCUUUCUCCAUUUUCUUAUGUACCUCAUGAAUUAUUAAGACUAUGAGGUAGGUAGGUGACAGAGACUGCAAAGGGAGAAGCUAGAGGGAAGACAGGCCAAAACUUGCCCAUAUUCACAUGCGCAUUUCUGCCUCUGACACUAGGAGAGAGUUGAGUAAUUGCUGUUCUUCCUAAUACUGCAGGCAGCAGCCAAAUUCUCCACAUUCUUUUACCUUUGCUGCUGUUUUCACUUGCCAGGGAGUUUCCUUAAGGAGCAGACUGAAUUUAAAGAAACAUAGCAGUAAUAGUGCAUGAAAGGGGGGGGGGGGGUCACUGGCCAAACGUGGCAUGUUGGUGCCUCACGUUGGGAGGAUGAAAGGAUGAUUCCUGCAGAGGGACAUGCUGCACACUGCGCAAGCUCCCUCACCUUUGUGUACGGCUGAGCCACUGACCAGGAAGCUCUUUGCUUGUAUGUGAGACAGCAAAUAUUCACUAAAUAUGUUUCAAGUACAAGCCAACUGUGAAGCUUGGAAAGUUGUCCAGAAACUUCACCCUUCCUUUGCAUGUUGUCCAGCGGCAGGGCAUUGAGCGAGGUUAGGUAGUAUGAACCUGUGGCUCUAAAACUUAAAGUAAUAGGCAUUAUUCGAAAGAAUAUGAUGCCCAGCAGGGCUUCCAGUGUAUAUUAGCAGUCAGCUUGCUUGCCUUGUGGUUAUCACAUUUUUUGCCAAGAGCAGCCUUUCAGAAUGAGGUACUAGUUAAUUCCCAUUGGGCAUUUAUUCAUUAAUAAGUCUGCUGAAUGUGAAAUAUUCCAUUUGGGAGUAUGUGAUAUGAGAAAACUCAGCGGCUAAUUAUUACAUAGCUCUCUUCCAUGAUUCUCACUUUCAGUGCAAUUACCUAAACCACCAAUUCCUAGCUAUGUAAACUUACAUACUUUUUAGUUUUCUAUAAUGUUUUGCUUUUUUUUUUUCACUCCAAUCUGUGAAAUUGUUAAAGGUUUACUAAUACCUGAGUAAACAUUUUAUGUUACACUAUGGCUUCCUCUUUCUUUCCGUUUUAAAAAGAUAGUAUCAAAAGUUAAAUCCCGUUCCAGAUCUUACCCGUCUCUCUUCCAGGCUAGAUUUCUGGGAUGGGGUGGUGUUAAUUUACUAACCUGAGCUUUUGACCAAGCUAGGGUCUCCUUUACUCUUCUUUUGGUAUGUAAAUAGGUCUUUAUUUGCUUUUCUUCCAGGUUGGUUGGUGCAUAUUAGCUUAAGAACUUUUAAACCUUUGUGGCCGUAAUGAGAAUCUGCAUGCCAGGGUUCCAGCAUUUCUCUACAAAGCAGCCCGUGAAUGCAUGUGUGUUUGCUGUAGUGAGGGGUCUAUGUUAGAAGGUCAGUUAGAGACCCCACUUGCCCACACCUGUGUGCUGUGGUUCGGCCCUCCUCCUCUGAUGGAUCCCUACCACAGCCCAGUGCCUGCUGGAUCUCAAGUGUCCUGAAAGCCAUUGGAAAGAUGCUUUCCAGCAAUCUUAACAUUUGCCUCCAUGUUCUUCCUAGCAAGGAUGGGUGCACACAGCUUUCCAGCUACUGGUCAACCAGCCAUUGGCAGAAGGUGCUGCAAGAGUCAAUUCCUCUUUGAGGAUCCCUUCCUAUAACAGUGUCUGCACUAACCACAAAAAGUUCUGUGGAAAUGUUUGCAGGGGGAGCUUUUGACCUGCAAAUAUUUCUUCAGAACUUUUUGCCAUAUGAGAACCUAUGAAAUGUUUUAUGUAAUAUAAGUUGGAAAUGUUGCCAUAUAGGAACAUUCGAGAAGAUGAUAAAUGUGAGAAAAGUGAUAAAAGUUUAUACAACGAGGAUCUGUACAAGGUUGUGGUAGAUUUGCUGACCUAAAAAGAUGUACCCAGGGUAGUAAACUGUUUCUGUAGUGUCAGCCACUGGGCCCCUGAGUGGGAAUACUCUUUGAGAGACAGGAAGCUAAUUCCUUCUUUGAAUGUGUAGUUAACUUUGUGCCAUUGGAUGUAGGGUGUGCGCGUGCAUGUAUGUUUUUUCAGUUGCUGAAGGCACAACACAAAGAAUACUGUGCAUUGUAUUAUAGAUGUGCUAGAAACAACGCCCCAGCUUGAAGCAAGUUGACUGUAGUAUCUACUCUGUAGAUCAGCAAACUGAAAAUGACUUCUUAAUAAAAGGCUGCACAUUGUUUUACUUCUUGCAUUUGAAAAAACAGUUCUAAUUAAGAUGCUUUGGGUUUUAAACUGCCUGUUAAUUGGGAUAUCUGUAAGUAGGCAAGUAGAGCUUCUGAAUAUUGCUGACUUCUUUCUUGGUGAUUGGGACAAAAGUGGUUUUUUUGGAUUUCUUUUUUUUUUUUUUUUGGUUUUUUGUUGUUGUUGUUUUUUUAAUAGUAGGCCAUCAUUAAACAGUUUUGACCUUACGCAGAAACUUUAGAUGUGACAGCAGAAGGAAACAGCGGAAAUUUAGAGUGAGAAAUGGAAGACCUCUGUAGGGAAAUAAGUAAAAUAAAAGAAGCUAGAGGUGUUUUUUGUUGGCAGUAGAUGAAAUUAUUUUGAAACACUGCCCUGGGAAAAGGUGAGCCCUCAGCAACCAAGUUUAUUGACUAUCUAUUCAGGAAAUUGUAUUAGAUGCUUUGGAAAAAGAAAGGAAAAGAAAAGACUUUCUGCCAACUGAGGGCUGGAAAACUUGAGGGAGAUAAAGUGUUUACAUGCUUUAAUAACAUAAAGCAUGUCCAAAAGAAAUACAUAAUUACAGCUGUGUUUGGCACUGAAAAUAAUCCAGGUAUUAUAUUUUUUAAAUUGUGUGUGAAUAUGUAAGCGAAUGCCCUUGAGUCAGAAAUGCUUGGGCGAUAAUAUUUCUUGAGAGAAUGGAAAAGUAGAUGGUAUUAGGAGCUAGAAAGAGAGAGAAGGGAUAAAGGAUGACCACUAAUUAAGAAGGAACAGUGAUCUUUUUUUCUUUAGAGGGGACAUAUUUCAAAUGCAUAGUUAUUCCACCUCUACCUCUUUUUUUUUUUUUUUUUUUUUUUUUUUGAGACGGAGUCUCGCUCUGUCGCCCAGGCUGGAGUGCAGUGGCCGGAUCUCAGCUCACUGCAAGCUCCAAUCUUAGUAUAAUAAGCAUUUAACUUCCCAUAGGAAGUCUGCAUGUUAUUACUAAAAGCCCACAGGUAAGGGAAAAUUAGACCCCUAAAGACCUGACCAUCUUGCUCCUAAAGUUUUAGGUUUUCCAACUUUAUUUCCAGUUUAUCUUGGACAAAGACCCUUUGAGAGCUCAGAAAAGUAGGAGAUGUGGUCAACACAUUCUUCUUAAUAUCUAGUGCAACCAAAGACUUGGUAAGGCCAGCAACUGGAAAAUGGGCGUGGUGUCGGGUUUCAGACUCUCCCAUAGUUGUCUUCACGUCCUUUAAAAUGUGUUUGCAUCCCUCAAGCCCUACCACUUUAUGCUCUUUCCUUUGUGAAGCCUUCCUGUCCUGCCCAGGAAAAAGUAAUGCCAUCCCCCAUCCCCCAGUGACCGUAAAUAGCACUUUCUCCUUCCCCUGUUAUAGCACUUUUCAUACUGUGUUAGAGUUCACAUUUCUGUCUCUCUGCCUCAUUGUGAUCUAUUUGAGUGCCAGGAUUGUGUGUUAUUCUAGUGCUUGGCACACAGGAAGAACUCAAUGAGCAUUUGUUGACUAAAUCUAGAGUCAAGGUCAUCCAAGAUAUUAUACAAAAACUGUUUCAUCGAAUCGUUUGGUCUGCACUGUGGAAACUGAAACGAAUGGCACUCCCCAUUAAGAGAAUCCCAGUGAGAAGCCGUAGCAUUGCAGGUGAAGCUCAAACUGGUUAACUUUGCUCAUGCCCAUCAGUCUUAGAAUUUUUUGUGGUGUUUCCAUGAUGAGUUAGUUUCAGCUGUAUUUUUUUGGUGAAUAUUUAAAGAUAAUUUUUAUUUGUGUGGGCUUUUCUUCUUGUCAGUUUGUCAUAAAGGUGUCAUCUUUCAUUCACUAAGCCCUCAUCAGCUUGUAAGAAUUUUCCUUGUGGGUGGUUGCUUGUAACCUUCUCUUGACUGCCAGGGAUCUGAUGUACUAAACAGUUGAAAUACUGUGGUGAUCAACUGCUUGUAAACAAUAACUGAUAAAUUGGUUAUAAAUUACUUUAUCAACACACUUCAGAUGACCAUAUCAUCAUGACUUGGUGAUGGCAAAAUAGACUUCUGGAUUCUCAGCAAAUCCAGGAAUGUGUCUUAAUAAACAUUUAUGUUGAUUAAUCAGGAGGGUGUUUGCUUUAAGAAACAUAUAUUGAAUGUUCAAUAUGUGAGUGCCAAGUGCAGUAUGAUGCAACCUGUUUACCGCUUCAGGUGAUCUUCAGAUAUCCUAAGGAAUUUUUAACUGUACAGCUUCUUUGGGGAAGGAAAUCCGAAGCCAACAACUUGAGGGUGGAAGUGUGUGACUGUGAAUAAUUAAAAUGCCUCACAAUAGUUCGAGCAGGAAUUCCAUAGGAAUGCACUUUAAGGCAUUUAGGAAAGCAAAAUUCCGUUUGGAUUUACUCCAAACCCUAUGACUUCAGAGACAGGAAUUUUUGAUGACUAGUGGCUGGAGCCCCAACUUGUUAGUUAGGAAUUCCACAUUCAGUGUGGAAUUGUUUUUUCUGUAGCACUAGUUAUAAGUUCUUUGUUUGUUUUUCUAAAGGUUUUAAGGAGGUUUACAAAUUAAGAUGGAAUAAGACAUUAGAAACUUAAGGAUACAGAGCAAAUUAAAACCUUGAUACAUUUGGUGCUAAACUUUUCAACUGCUAAAGAUAGAGAGUUUUGGCCAAGAUAAAAUAUAGAGAGAGUCAAAGACACAUGCAGAAUUCUCUUGGAUAUAAGCUCAGGUACCUGUGCCAUUUUAUCACUUUAGUCAAUGUGCCCAUUUUCUUAGGCCAGGUUUAAUUUUCUGCUGCAGCAUGGCCUUUCAGCUUUCCCGAGUUUACAAUGCCCAUCUCAUACCACAUGGAAAUUGUUGAUAAUGUUAGUGUAUGGUUGGUGGCUUUCCCAGUAUCCCACUUCAGAUCCUUUUAUUGAUCAUCACCAGUUACAAAAGUUUUAGGAAAGGGAAGGAGAGAAGCUGGAACUGAUGGCUAAGUACAGUUAAUAGCUGUAGAGCUCUGGUUGUCCAUCAUGAACAGUGGCAAUGAACAGUGAAGAUUUAAGCAGGGUUAUUUUUUGAGGGUCCGCUGAUUUUCCUAUAACUCUUUAAAAAUAUUUUUAAAACUUUUAUAUGGCUUCGUUACUAUUGAAAGCUUAAAAAUCUGUUCCUAGACUUUCUGGGCAGGUAUGUUCUCUUUUGAGUGUUGCCUUCUCUAAGACUUUAUCAGCAGCAGGAGUAUUUGAGCCAAUGGCAAAUGCUGCCAGAAUGAGAAGUGUGUGUGUUUCUCAAAACUCGUGAUCUCACAGUUAAAUCGAGGGUGUAGGUAAAGGACCCAGAACUGUUCUUGCGGGUGGAAUAGCACACUUAUCCUCAGACUUUAGUAGAGUCAAUGAAUGGAGGCUGAGGACUGGGGAACACUCUUGAAGGAGGGAGUGCCCAUCAGCCGGUAAGCCAAAGUAAACAGUUCUUGUAACUGAAAAAUAGACUUCCUGGAAGGAGAGAACCGGAGAAGUGGGUGUGAAGUGCAACCAGCAAGUACCGUUUUCAGUGAUACAGACAACUGGGUUAACCUGAGUCCUGACAAGAACCUCUCAGAGCUAUUUGGGGAAAUCAGUUGCUUGAACCAGCCUUUGACUGGCCUGUCGUGCCUACAGCUGUACCUAAAGAUGGCACUUGGGGAGAAAAGGUCACGUUUGUGAUAGAGAAAGCAAACCGAUGGGGCAUUUUGAGAGGUAGAAAUGAAGUCAUCAGUAGUGGAGCCGGUGGACCAGCGGAAUGGCCAUAUGGGAAGGUAUCCCUGAGCCUGUAUGUAUGGAAAUGCAGGCAUCCUUCUCUGUCAGUCUUUUGUCACAGUGAGAAAACGUCAUUACAGUGGACAGCUGUGCACACGUUGGAGAUUAGGUGAUGUGUGCACAUACUGGUGCAUGUGCAUCCAUGUAUACAACAUGCACACCUGCAAAAAGGAUGGCUCACAGGGUCAUGUGCAUGUCCUGAUAGUCUAUUAUGUCCGUUCUUCUAUGAAAGGAGUAUGUUUUUCUAACUGAAGCUGUUAGGUUCUGUUAAUUCCAACAGAAAAAAAAAAAAAAAAAAAAAAUCUGCCUCUGGCCAUCAUUUGUUAAUUUACAUAGAUUGGAUACUUGUUGUCGGUCUCCUAAGUGGCUUACAUAAAGCUGUGGGCGUCUUUUCCUGUGUCUUCUCUUCUGCAGUUCCUAAGGUACCUACCAGGUUUAUAUUGCUGAUGUCCUACCCAUGCUGUGUGUCAAGAAAGGUAGACUAUCAAGAAGUAUCGAUGCAGAUAUUCCUUAGAAGUUUUCAUGCCCAAAGAUUCUCAGAGCUUAGUUGCAUGAGGAAAGGGGCCUUGCCUUGUAAAAAGAGACAGAAACCCCUUGUUAAAGGGGUCACUCAGAAAAAGGUAUUAUCUAAAUUCCCUCUUGGUAGUUUUAUUUCUUGAAUGUAUUCCCCAUCACUAGCUAUGUGUGCUGGAGCCAAUUGUUGGACCCACGGCCAUCCUUCAAAGAAUACUACUCUAAAGGGAACAUAACUUUACUAGACAGUUUGGGAAAUAGAAGAAACAAUUAUCUAAAAUGCUCUUGUUCCAAACACAAAAACUAGCUUCAUGUUUUUAUAUAUAACCCUGCGUAGUCUUACUCUGUAGACAUCCUUUUUCCCCCUACACAUCUUGUGUCAUGUUUUUUUUCCCCCACCUAACAUCUAUCAAAUACAUUGUCCUAUGUUGCUACCUUGUCUUCAUUAUUAUGAUUUGUCAAGUAAUUGGGUUGUACUGACUGCAGUGUUACUCCUCAUUUCCUUUCCCCUUUUCUUUUCCAUACUACUUAAAAAGUAAGAAAGGAAAAAAAAAUUCUGUCGAAGAGAAAAUUCUUGUGUAGUUGUAGUGGAAUUUAUUUUCCUGAGUGCCUGGGCGUGCUCCAGAUAGCUGUGAUUGUGUCAUCUCUUUCUUACUAAGCAUCUGACCACUCACCACCUGUGCAUCUGAUCCCUGUAGGCUCAUGGCAUGAGGGCUGUGGCUCUUGAUGUUUUUGUUUGAUGUACUUAGUGUCACCAGAACUGCAUUGACUCUUAAGAGUAUGGAAGCUUUGUAAAGUUAACUAACGAUUUGUAGGUUUUGUGCAAGUAGCCAGCUCUCUAGGUAGAGACAUUUUAAUUCUGUUGCUUUUUUUUUUUGGGGUAGCAUUAUUAUUGGAAUGCAAAUGUUUGCUUAGUAUGAAAAAUUGAUAUAAUUAACUAAGUUCUAAAUGGGGACUAGAUAUUAACUUCAAAAUGAAUUUGUAACUUGUAUGCUUUGCAUAUGCCAUAUGCUGUUGUUUCCAAGGAUUAAAAGCAGUUUUCCACUUCCACCAUCUUAUAAAUUAAAACCAAAGGCGUAGAUGUUAUCCAACAAGGCACCUACAAAAUUUGAAAAAAACUCUCUGUCAUUAUCAGGAUUAAGUUUGUUGAAAUUCUAUCAGGAAAAUAGACUUUUUCUCGUAUUAUUGUUAUUAUUGACCCAUAUAAUGCAACUCAUACUGGUUUCAUGUUCAGAAGGUAUAUAGUAUCUGUUGUAAUAUUUCAGAUUAAUUUCUGCAAUCUUUGUUUAAAAAUACAAAUCCUCAAAACAAAUUGUAUAAACAGUAUACAAAAUCAAAUCACCAGGCUUCAAAUAUAUUUUAUAUAAACAUUAAGUGCUCUUUGGAUUAGCAAAAGGAAGACAAACAUUUUGAUUACCUCUUUAAUACUCAAUUUUUGUUUCUGAAUUACUAAUCUUUGAAGAUAUAAUUAGUGUGGGAUACAUACCAAUCAACAUAGUCCAGAAAACACUGAACCUUGGAAAGAGUACCUAUUUAGAGUACCUUAGUACUUUCUAAGCCACAGUAUGUGGCUAAGUGAUUAAUAUGCACUAUUACACUUUCAUAAAUACUUUUCAGACAAACAUUGACUUAAGGGAGCAUACUUUGUACUGAAAAACUAAUUCGAAGGUGAAAUCACAUCACAUUUAACAGUUUAACCUUGUGUAUUUGUAGAAUUUUAGUUAGAUCAUAGGAUAAUGACAUUAGCUAAAGUCAGCAAGCAUGUAAAAUAAACAUUUUGAAGUUUAAUCGUUAUUUAUGUUCUACAAUAAGAAGUAUAUGGCGCCUACCAUAACCACCACUACCAAAAUGUGUAUGCUGAAAUUGUGUCUCCAGGAUAAAUAAAGAGGUGUAAGGCAAGCUGACAUCCAUUAGAAAAAAGGUUUAGAAAGGGAGAGAGGGCCUGGACUUUCCUAAGCUUCACCCCAACAUAGGGCCUACAGCUCCUAUUGGAACCAAUUUGUAAAACUUCAAGGUGGGAAUCAAUAGAUAGUCUCCAGUAUUAUAUAGUUCCUCUUUAAUCAGUUGAUCUUUCUUAUCAACCAAAGCUUCAGGUGGUUUUUAUUUUUAUUUAUUGCCAAAAGCUUCUUACCAAUGUGAUUAGAAAUGUUUAAAUUCAUUUAUAAUGAAAUGGAUUUGUAUCUUCCUUGCUCGACAGUAGAUAGUGAAGCCUCCGUGACCUGUGUAAGCUGCAGGUUGAGGCGAAUGUGUAAACAGUAGGCGAGCGUUCAUACAGUGUCCCUGGACUGCAUUUCCUUGCUUACAGAGCCUCGGAGCUGGGCCAGCUCGCAUGAGCGGGAGGAGGAGAGGCUCAGUUUUGAGAGCCCUGGGUUUAUUUCUGGCUGUAGGGAUAUGGAAUGUGGGAGAAGGUGUAAAUAUGGUUUGAGGGAGGUCGUAGACUUGGAGGUGCUUGCCAGGGGUAAAUGCUGGAUGGAUUUGUUUAUGGAUGGAUUUGAUUAUAGCUGCUUCACACUUUUACCUCUGGAGUUGGUGUUUCCAAGGAAUGAUGCUCAUUGUCUGGAUCUCCUUUAGUGGGUAUCUCAGAAUUCUUUGCUGCACCAACCACAACAGUUCUCUUCCCUUUCUUUUGGUGUUUGUAUUCAAAUGCCUGACAUCCUGACCUACUGUGAGGGAUUUUUAAAAUACUGAACACCAAGCUUCUUGGGAAAAGACAGGUAUGUAAAUACUACAAGCGUGUAGCAUUUGGGGGAUGGAGUUGUGGGAUUUUGGAGUUUGUGACCCCCAUGUGUCUGUGCAUCACUCUCUCUAAUGUAGAGAGACAGAACAGCAGUUCCUCAGCCCUGUCUUUUGUCUCUUCAUGGGUUUGUCACUGAUUUCCCCUUUCAGGGUCUGAAUCCCUUUCCCUUGCCUCCCCCCAUGUGGGUUCCGGAAGGCCCACAUGCAACAGCUGCCCUUGGUCAACCCCCAGCCCUGCACACAGGUGUUUUCUGCUGUUUGGAGCUCAGGGGCACUGUCUAGCUAGCUGAUGACAGCUCACUGGUGGCACUAGUCUCACUCCAGUGCUGGCUCUGCCCCUUUGGCCCUGUUGCUUCCUCCUUGGAGGAUGAGUCACCCCAGUUUUGGGGCAUGUUACCCCCCUGUAUGACUAGCACACAUUGCAUCUACUUGCCAAGGAGUGUUAGGCAUACAGUCUCAACCUUUCCAGUAGAAAUGACUUCCUCUGAAAUUUAGAUGAUAAAUUCCAUAGGGAGAAAUCGUGUUUUAUUAAUGAGAGACAAAAUUGUGUACUAGUGGGAGUUCAGGCUCAGAAGCCAGUGCAUAGUCCAGCCUGGAGACUUGCAUGGUGUGUUACCCUGGCCAACCGCUCCCCAACCUCUGUUCAUGAUUUCCAUCUGUAAAAUGGGAAUAGCAAUAGUAUCCAUUUAUUUUGGGUGGUUAUGAGGAAUACUUAAUUCAUUCAUGUAAAGCACUUGAAUAGUGUCUUGUAUACAGUAAGCACACAGUUAAUGUACAUUGUCAUUGUAUCUUUGUACCUCAACAUCUAACACGAUGGUUUAUACAUAGCACAUACUCAUUAAUGUUUUGUUGAGUAAAUGUAAUAUUCAGAAGGUGGGAAAGUGAUUUCCUCUUCUCUUACCAUAAACUAAGAGUAAUAUUUGGUUGAAAUAAAGCAUCAUAGGCCUGAAGACAUUUACUCCCUAGCUGCUGGCAGGGGAGUAGAAUGUUCCAAAUUCUAUGUUGAUAACUGGGUGCCUGUGAUUUGUUAGUCAUACCUAACAAACUCAGUCUCUCAGGUGUUUCAGUGAUAUUUACUGGCUCCCAAGGUAAUUUUGAAAGGCCAAAGCCAUCAAGUGAUUUGUUUUCAGUAAGCAUUAUUAUUGGGAUAUUUCAGACUCCAACAUGUGCAGUGGACAUAUUAACGAGAAUUCACCCUUUCUAAACUUAGGGGCUUACUCUGCAUUACAACUUAUGUUUGCUUUUAAGGUGAUGGAUGGAUAGAUAGAUGCUCUAUAAUUGAAUAGCCUACUGGGCUUCUGUGUAGUCUAUUCUAGCACAGCACUGUGUAAGUAGCAGGUGUUCAGUUAAUGUAUUUUAAAUCAAUGAGUAAUUGAUGGGAUAUUUUUCUUCACAUUACAUCACAUUGAAGGUGUUUGUGAGGAAGUUUUGUUCAUGAUUUUCCUCCUAGGCAAGCGUCACCUAACAUGUUUCUCUCUAGCUGUGGGGUAUUGAAUUUGAGGCUGCUCUCAGCAUUAUUGCUCAUCUCAAAGAGGAACAAAUGGUCCCCCAAAUGGUCCAUAUGCGACAGUGGGGGAAGGAGUGCCACCACUCAUUUUGAGGUGCCUGGGCCAUACUCUGGAUGAAGCACACAGCUCUUAACAGAAGGAGGUCUCUGUGUUUCAGAUUUUUGUAACUGUGAAAUCCCUGCCUUGUAUUCAACUUGAAAUAAAUUUAUCAGUGCAAAUGAGUACACUGUGGUUCUUGUGUGGAAAAAUUAUGCAGGUGGUUUGAAGGAUUCAUCAUUUUAUUAAAAGACUAGAAGAAUGUACAAAUGCUUUCCUUCUUUCUCAUGUUUUUCUCACCCAAACUGAAGUGGUCCAUUUAAAAUGUGAUCUUCAUAAAAGGAAGAGCUGUCAGAGGACAUCUGAUUUAUGAGCCAUCUGAUUUGCUUCUGCUGUAGUUCUGCUUCUGCUGGGGUAUGAAAAUCAGGCACUUUUAUUUCAGCCCUGACAACAGUACAGCCUUCCCAAAGUAUAAGAAGUGUAGCACGCAGAGGUAAUAUGCAGUCUUCUGAACAGAGCACUGAACUGGUUUUUAAUGAAGGGUAGUAUGUACUUGGGGUUCAAACUCUAGUUAAUUCCAGAAAACAUAUUCUCUCACUAGUGUUGGGUCUUAGUAAAUGAGUAUUCUGUGUUGAAUCCUUGCUUGAGAGGAAAGAGGUCAUAAUUGGUCAGGGAUUCUAUUUCUUUUUUUUUUUAGAAAAGCAAUUGCUUAGAAUGAAAUGAAUCUGUAUCAGGGUAUCUUUUUGUAGGAUCAUAUUAAUCAUCUUACCCACAAACUUACUCUGUGGUCAAACUUUAGUCAUAAGGAUUUAUUAAAAGCAAUGAUUUGGUUUAAAAAAAGAAAAAAUAUGUGUAUGGGAGGAAUGUAGACAUUUAGUUGAAGUACAGUUGAUAGACUUUGACCACUCAGGGAUAUUUUCUUCAUGGACUGUCUUACAGAGGCAGAACCUAACCGCACAUGCUUCUUAUGACUCUGAUGCAUGAAUGGCAGCCCUAAGUGGGCUCCUCUUCACUUAUUCCUUCUCCCCAAUCUCUCCAGCACUGUUUUCCAUUUCCUUCCCUUCCAGAGUCUGCGCUUAUCAGUCCGGUACUCCUGUCCUCAGAGUGCCAGGCCAGCCAGGCCAGCUCCACAUCCUCCUCCACAAGACCAAGCUGAAGUCUGCCGGUUCAUCUGUUGAUGUUACACAGUUUGAGCUCAAGCUCCUUAUUCCUUGCCGGCUUCCCUUUUUUGAGUUCCACUGGAGUGGUACUCUUGUGUCAGAGGGAUUCAGCACUGCCCACUGUGUCAUGGCACUCUAAGCUGCUCCCCUUGGGUUCAGAUGAGGCCAGAGUUGUCCAGUCCCAUCAUGCUGCAGCCCUAAGCUCCAGAGGGUGACCUGGAUCGGAUGCGCAUCCUGGAGCUUAAUUUCAUAAGCCUUGGGGGCCUGCAAGCAGGAGGAUUUGGAAACCCUUGAGAGGCCAGGUCCUGUGGGUUUGAGCCCAGACUCUACAGAGUUAAAACCUACAGGACAAAUAAAUCAAAAGAAGGACAUAAAGAACGUUUGGGAGACACUGAGUCUGCAAGGCAAAUAAAUCCAGUAUUGCAAGGGGAGGAUUUUGUUUUGGGAGGUUGAAGUUUUGUUUGCCCUCCGAAUGAAGGUGGUAUUUCUAUUCGUUAGCCAAAAAGACAUCAGACUUUGAAAAUAACUGAGAUCAGAGCACUGUUGCCACACCAGGAAUCAGAACUGUGGCAUUGGAAGUUUCUUCAGAAAAGCACCUUUAGGCCAGCCUAAUUUUACAGAUUAAGGAACUGAGACCCAUAAAAGUUUGUCAUGUUCUCUUAUUUAAAAAAAAAAUUUCGACCAUGUGUGCGGUUAUGGCCUCUCUUUCCUGCCUAACCCAAAGAGGUCAAGGAGCUUUCUCUUGCCCACUCUGGAGGGAACUCCUGGGGUCCCCCGCUGCUCUCCCUGCCCCAUGACUUUGUCCCAGAAUACAUAACAGUGGGCUGGAUCAGCCUCUGCUGAACUUUUCCCUGCCAGCCUCCCUGCCCGCCUUCUUGCCCCCGCCCCUACCCCCCACACAGGAAUCUAGAGCCCUCCCAGUGAUGGUGUGAAGCCACUGGAAUGUGGCAUUCUGACCCCUGGCAGUUGAGUGUCCUGGAUGGACCUGGCCUGGGAAACAGGAAGGACUCGGGGGAGGGGGAAGGAGUGCCCCAUGGCCUUGAGGUGGGAUGGAGGGAAAGGAAAUGCUGCCCAGUGCGGCCCCACAGGCAGCUCCCGCUAGACUCCCACGCUGGGGGCGGGGCUGGCAGGGCAGGGAGCCGGUAGGUUUCCUCAGACCAGGCCUGUGGCCGGGGACCUCUGGCAGAGCCAAGCUCAGGAAGGUGAGCUGCCAGAGCAGUUGGGGUGAAGAGGAAAGGAUGUGAGGGGAAGGAGGAGGAGCAGGCCAGAAUGCAGAGGAAAUUGUAGUAGGAGAGGACAAAGGUGAUGGAUGAGAGAAGGAAUGUCCAGUAACUGUGUGAACUAGAUGCACUUCUCACUUCAGAAACCAAGUAUGUUAGCAGGAAAGACCCUCCUAAAGAAAAUUCCAGCCAGGUGCAGUGGCUCGUGCCUGUAAUCCCAGCUACUCAGGAGACUGAGGUGGGAGAAUUGCCUGAACCCAGGAGGCAGAGGUUGCAGUGAGCCUAGAUUGCGCCACUGCACUCCAGCCUGUAUGAUAGAGUGAGACUCCAUCUCAAAAAAAACCUUCUGUGCCAUUUUUAUUUUAGAGUAAAGCACACCCCGUUUGGAAACCCCAGUGCUUUUUAACAUGCUCAGCUUUGGCAAAGAUAGAGUCACUGGGGUUAGUGAAAGGGGUGGGUGCACAUGCAAGUGUGAGGCCAACUGUUACUCACCUGUCCCUUUCUGUUUUCUGUCAUUGGUGGACCCACCUGGACCAUGCUUGGGUCUGUUACCUCCCUCGAAGAGGUUUUCAGAAAAACCUGAGGACAAGCCUCAGGGUGAUGAUAUGCCCAGCAGCUCCUUGCUCCUCUCCAGGGUUAGGGAACUUUGUAUCCUCAGCUUCCUCCCAAUUAAAGCCUUUGGCAGAAUCAGGAUGCAGAACCAGGGCCUGGAACCGCCUCAGCAAACCCUUGUGGAACCACUAGCAGGUCAUUGCUGUUUCCAAACUGCGCGUGUUGGCAAGCUAGCUUUUCGUUGGGGAUGUUUAAAAUUAAAUUCCAUGCUCGUGGGGAAGGAAUAGAAACUAUAGGCAGAGUCUGUUUCUGAAACACCUGUUUUAAGUGGAGAGCGAUCCUAACUGCUGCCAUACCUGAAGGGCUUGUGUUUUCUGUGCAGCUGGAAUCUCUCUGUGCUGAGUAAAUUAACUUCUGUGCCCAGGGUAGUCUUGAAUGAUAAUUAGUGCUCCGUGGCCAUGCCGCACAUCCUGUCUGAAGCAAGGGUGGUAAUGUCCUUUCCUCUCUUCUCACAGGACAUUAUAUGAAAUCAUAGGAAUAGCGGCCCUGGUGCUAAGUAGAAAUAUCAUGGUUAUGGCACUAAUUUAUUGGGCCUACCAGCCCAGGUGUGCAGCACCCCUUUCCUUCAGCCGGUUGAUAAGAAAGACACCAGGUGAGGCCCAUUGUGAUGCUGCAGGCAGUGUUGCAGCUACGUCGGCCUGUGUCUCCCGGCUUAAGGGGUGCAUCUUUUGGUCUGCCUUGAGAACCUCCAGUCUUCCAUAAAUUGGAAGUUCAAAACAAUGGAAUUAACAAUGGAAAGAACAAGCACGUACACAUAAGUUUAAAGCUGUGCAUCUCUGUAUAUUCUAAUCCUUUGAAACUUGGUGAUCAUUAUUGUUCGUUACAUAGGAUAUGGAUUUGAUCAAAGCAUCCUUUGGGAAUUAUCUGCGUUUGGUAUUUCUUUUUAUAUCCUAAAAACUGUUAGAGGUAUUUCCACAAAUUGUGAGCUUUGUCAUUUGGAUAUUUUUUUUGAGACUUCUUUUCCACUCUAAACGCCAACUUUAAAUAGAAUAACAUGACAGAAUCAUGGUCUUGAAAAAUCCACAUACUUAACUGCAUAUGGGAAUACAUAUUGCUGUAGCAUAUGGAAAAAGGACUGAGUGAUGCAUACCUGUUUUAUUUACAUUUUCUUUUGGAAGCAAGUUAUUUUCUACAUGUGUAUGUUUAUACCUAUGUGUGUUCUAAUUUGAAAUGUAGAAAUCUGUAAAAAAUUUUUCGUUAACUUUGACACUGCUGUGUUUUAAAAUAUCUGAAAGUUACCUGUUUCCUAGUCCUUGGAAGGCUUGAAUUAUUAUAAAGUUUAUUUAUUUGCAUCUCAGCCAUUCCCAAAAGAUUUUAAAUGUGAAUGCAGAAGUAGCAAAUAAACAAACCUGAAACUUUGAUACCUACAGAACAUUUUUAGAGCUGCUUCUUUUUUUCCAUGCAGUGUUGUUAGUAGAGAAUAGUAUUAGUUACCUCAUAGAGCAGUCACUUACUCAGGUUUACCGUUCAUUUACUUCAGCAAGUGGAUAUUGGGGCCUGCUGUGUGUUCAGCACAGAGUGAGUGUAGAAAAGAGAGAAGCAGUUUCUGCUCCCAAGAAGCUCAGCAAUGCCUUAGAAUAAGGGAAGUUCUGGGGGUGGGUGUGCCAGAAAGAGAGAGGGAUGGGUGGGAAAAAAUUGAAAAUCAGACUUCUUUGAAGAAAAGAUAUUUAAGCAGGGCACAGUACGGUAGUAGCACCUUUCUAGGUAGACAGGAGGAAAUAAAACUGUUCCUAAGCAGAGCAGUGGGAUCCGUAAAGGCCCAUUGGAGUGAACGUGCAUAGCAUACUCAGGAAAUCAGCUGAUUGAGUAAAUAUUUAUGGAGGCUCUACUAUGUGCUGAGCCCUCUUCCAGGUGCAGAAGAUACAGCAGUGAACAAGACAAAAAUUCCUACCAACUGGAGCUUUCUGAUAGAAUCAGCCAAAUUGGUAAGGAAAAGAUACAGCAUACAAGAGGAGAGAAGUGCUAUGGAGAACAAUAAAGCUGAGAAAGGGGACAGAGGCGGCCACAGUAGUGUCUUGUUUGCAGUUUUAAUGGUCUGGCAAAGUCUUGCUGGAAGUUGAGUUUGAUUGAAGACCUGAAGGUGUGCUGGAGUGAACCAUGCGCGCACCUGGAGUAGGAUGUUCCAGAGAGAGGGAACACAAGUGCCAAAGCCUUGAGGCCGCAGUAGCUGGGGAGGGGAAGAGCAGAUGUCUGCACAGUGGGAGGUAACUGGAAGGUCAGCUAGGGCUAGGCAAAGGCCUAAUUUAUCAGUGUGAGGACUUGACCCUGUGGUCAGGAGAGUGCCAUCAUAGAUUUAUAGAUACGGCUUGUGCUGUCAUCUCUGGGACCUCCGAAGUGAGGACCCAGUGACUUAGAGCUGGGUGUCUGUUAGGUAUAGAGGUAAGAUGCUACACAAAGGAAAUUCCAGUUUUGUAAGAAAUGUGUAAAUAUGUUUUUCAAACAUGUUCUUAAGACUUUUUAAUGUUUCUGUGUUCUUGUUAUAGUUGUCUAGUUUAUUUCCCAUGAAUGUUAGGGAUCAGAUCGCUGCUGUGUAAAUCAUAGUCCACCCAAGGUGUUCAUAUUCAUUUCUUGGUAUGGCCUAAGGCAAGAGUCCUGCUUUUCAUUGUCCCCUAAUUUAUAUUUGCUUCUUUCUGAAGAGUUUUAAAAUGGAUUUCAAGGACUUGAUGCCUUUAAAAUCAGUGGAUCAGUUCCUGUGAGGUUUCUUAAUAGGCCACAGUUGUCUCUCUGAUUCUUAUUUCUAAUUUAUAGCACUAUUGUCCACCUAAACAUGCAUUAACCGUGUGGAUCUUAAUGAUGUUUUAAGAAAAAAGGUUUUGACAUACAUGCCAGACUUUCACUUAAGAUGAAACUGGGCAACUAGGAAAUGGUAUGCCGUAUGUAUGAAGCAACGUUCAUUGAAUAUUGCUGGCAAAUUUAGUUUUGUUGCUGGGAUGACCAGAUUCUUGGACUGUGUAGUAGGAAUAAAUAAAACCAAACAGAAUCUUGUUUCACCAAAAAAAAAAAAAAAAAAAAACAAA